GGGCCCAUAGCUCAGCUGGUGCUGCAAAAGAAAGCCUUUGAGCCUUCUGUUGCUGCAGCAAAGAGCACUCGACUCUUAAUCGAGUGGUCAGGGGUUCGAGUCCCCUUGGGCUCA
rnacentral:tRNA from 1 species